AUUGAACGCUGGCGGCAGGCCUAACACAUGCAAGUCGAACGAGUGGCGGACGGGUGAGUAAUGUAUGGGAAACUGCCUGAUGGAGGGGGAUAACUACUGGAAACGGUAGCUAAUACCGCAUACCAUCAGAUGUGCCCAGAUGGGAUUAGCUAGUUGGUGGGGUAACGGCUCACCAAGGCGACGAUCCCUAGCUGGUCUGAGAGGAUGACCAGCCACACUGGAACUGAGACACGGUCCAGACUCCUACGGGAGGCAGCAGUGGGGAAUUUUGCACAAUGGGCGCAACCCUGAUGCAGCCAUCCCGCGUGUAUGAAGAAGGCCUUCGGGUUGUAAAGUACUUUGAGCGGGGAGGCGUUAUCCGAAGAAGAAGCACCGGCUAACUCCGUGCCAGCAGCCGCGGUAAUUC
rnacentral:rRNA from 1 species